rnacentral:rRNA from 1 species
CCUACGGGAGGCAGCAGUGGGGAAUAUUGCACAAUGGGCGAAAGCCUGAUGCAGCAACGCCGCGUGAGCGAUGAAGGCCUUCGGGUCGUAAAGCUCUGUCCUCAAGGAAGAUAAUGCCGGUACUUGAGGAGGAAGCCCCGUCUAACUACGUGCCAGAUGCCGCGGUUAUACGUAGGGAGCUAGCGUUAUCCGGAGUUACUGGGCGUAAGGGGUGCGUAGGUGGUUUCUUAAGUCAGAGGUGAAAGGCUACGGCUCAACCGUAGUAAGCCUUUGAAACUGGGAGACUUGAGUGCAGGAGAGGAGAGUGGAAUUCCUAGUGUAGCGGUGAAAUGCGUAGAUAUUAGGAGGAACACCAGUUGCGAAGGCGGCUCUCUGGACUGUAACUGACACUGAGGCACGAAAGCGUGGGGAGCAAACAGGAUUAGAUACCCCAGUAGUC